AGAGUUUGAUCAUGGCUCAGAACGAACGCUGGCGGCAUGCUUAACACAUGCAAGUCGAACGCUUCUUAGGGCUUCGGCCCUAAGGGGAGUGGCGCACGGGUGAGUAGCGCGUGGGAACCUGCCCUGGAGUGGGGGAUAACCGAGGGAAACUUCGGCUAAUACCGCAUGCGCCCGGUGGCAACACCGGGGAAAGAUUUAUCGCUCUAGGAGGGGCCCGCGUCGGAUUAGCUUGUUGGUGGGGUAACGGCCUACCAAGGCGGUGAUCCGUAGCUGGUCUGAGAGGAUGAUCAGCCACACUGGGACUGAGACACGGCCCAGACUCCUACGGGAGGCAGCAGUGGGGAAUAUUGGACAAUGGGCGAAAGCCUGAUCCAGCAAUGCCGCGUGAGUGAGGAAGGCCUUAGGGUUGUAAAGCUCUUUCGGCGGGGACGAUGAUGACGGUACCCGCAGAAGAAGCCCCGGCUAACUUCGUGCCAGCAGCCGCGGUAAUACGAAGGGGGCGAGCGUUGUUCGGAUUUACUGGGCGUAAAGGGCGCGCAGGCGGCUAUCUUUGUCAGGCGUGAAAGCCCCGGGCUUAACCCGGGAACUGCGCUUGAAACGGGAUGGCUAGAGAUCGGGAGAGGAGAGUGGAAUUCCCAGUGUAGAGGUGAAAUUCGUAGAUAUUGGGAAGAACACCGGUGGCGAAGGCGGCUCUCUGGACCGACACUGACGCUGAGGCGCGAAAGCGUGGGGAGCAAACAGGAUUAGAUACCCUAGUAGUCC
rnacentral:rRNA from 1 species